rnacentral:rRNA from 1 species
AGAUUGAACGCUGGCGGCAUGCUUUACACAUGCAAGUCGAACGGCAGCGCGGACUUCGGUCUGGCGGCGAGUGGCGAACGGGUGAGUAAUAUAUCGGAACGUGCCCAGUAGCGGGGGAUAACUACGCGAAAGCGUGGCUAAUACCGCAUACGCCCUACGGGGGAAAGGGGGGGAGUUCUUCGGAACCGUCUCACUAUUGGAGCGGCCGAUAUCAGAUUAGCUAGUUGGUGUAGGUAAAGGCUCACCAAGGCGACGAUCUGUAGUCUGGUUUGAGAGGACGACCAGACCACACUGGGACUGAGACACGGCCCAGACUCCUACGGGAGGCAGCAGUGGGAAGUUUGGACGAAUGGGGGAAACCCUGAUCCAAGCCACUCCCGCGGUGUGCGAAGUGGAA